AUGGCUCUGCCUUGUACGUGGAACGUAGUGUAUAUUUGAGCCAACACUACUACAUAGGGAGAUCUUCUCUCACCUGUGGCGCGAAAGCCUCCUAGAUUGGGGACUCGUAAAGCAGGUAGGCGAUCACCCACCUGCGGAGAGCGGGCUUCAAUAUGUAUUUCGUGAAACGGCAAGGCGGGGCUUUU
rnacentral:other from 1 species